rnacentral:rRNA from 1 species
UACGAAGGGUGCAAACGUUGCUCGGAAUUAUUGGGCGUAAAGCGCACGUAGGCGGCUUAGCAAGUCGGAAGUGAAAUCCCACGGCUCAACCAUGGAAGUGCUUUCGAAACUGCUGAGCUUGAGUACGAAAGAGGAUCGCGGAAUUCCGAGUGUAGAGGUGAAAUUCGUAGAUAUUCGGAGGAACACCAGUGGCGAAGGCGGCUCACUGGCUCGGUACUGACGCUGAGGUGCGAAAGCGUGGGGAGCAAACAGG